CUUUUUAAAGUCAAGGAAGUUAUUCACAAGACAGAAACGAAGAAAAAGAGUCAGUUAGGAAAAUGUUUCAGAUUAUAAUGCUAUUAUUUUAACAAUUAUAAUGAGGGCAAACAGCAUCUUGAAGAUGAGUUUCUUUAUCCUUUUCUGUAAGUGUUGUGGGCAAGCCUCAUCUACAUUGUAAUACUCCAAAUUUUCCAUCAGCCAAGGACUCACACCUCAGCUGCUGACUGUGUUAAACAUUUUCACAUGUAUCAAUUUAGAGUA